CGUGUCGUCAGCUCGUGUCGUGAGAUGUUGGGUUAAGUCCCGUAACGAGCGCAACCCUUGUCCUUAGUUACCAGCACGUUAUGGUGGGCACUCUAAGGAGACUGCCGGUGACAAACCGGAGGAAGGUGGGGAUGACGUCAAGUCAUCAUGGCCCUUACGGCCUGGGCUACACACGUGCUACAAUGGUCGGUACAAAGGGUUGCCAAGCCGCGAGGUGGAGCUAAUCCCAUAAAACCGAUCGUAGUCCGGAUCGCAGUCUGCAACUCGACUGCGUGAAGUCGGAAUCGCUAGUAAUCGUGAAUCAGAAUGUCACGGUGAAUACGUUCCCGGGCCUU
rnacentral:rRNA from 1 species